AAGGUGGGGACGACGUCAAGUCAUCAUGGCCCUUACGUGUAGGGCUACACACGUGCUACAAUGGCAUUUACAGAGGGAAGCGAGACAGUGAUGUGGAGCGGACCCCUUAAAGGAUGUCGUAGUCCGGAUUGGAGUCUGCAACUCGACUUCCAUGAAGUCGGAAUCGCUAGUAAUCGCAGGUCAGAAUACUGCGGUGAAUACGUUCCCGGGCCUUGUACACACCGCCCGUCACACCAUGGGAGUGGGAUGCAAAAGAAGUAGUUAGUCUAACGUUCGGGAGGACGAUUACCACUUUGUGUUUCAUGACUGGGGUGAAGUCGUAAUAAGGUAACC
rnacentral:rRNA from 1 species